GGGGAAUUUUCCGCAAUGGGCGAAAGCCUGACGGAGCAAUACCGCGUGAGGGAGGAAGGCUCUUGGGUUGUAAACCUCUUUUCUCAGGGAAGAAAAAUGACGGUACUUGAGGAAUAAGCAUCGGCUAACUCCGUGCCAGCAGCCGCGGUAAUACGGAGGAUGCAAGCGUUAUCCGGAAUGAUUGGGCGUAAAGCGUUCGCAGGUGGCAUUGAAAGUCUGCUGUUAAAGAGUCUGGCUCAACCAGAUACAGGCAGUGGAAACUACAAAGCUAGAGUGCGGUAGGGGCAGAGGGAAUUCCUGGUGUAGCGGUGAAAUGCGUAGAGUUCAGGAAGAACACCGGUGGCGAAAGCGCUCUGCUAGGCCGCAACUGACACUGAGGGACGAAAGCUAGGGGAGCGAAUGGGAUUAGAUACCCCAGUAGUC
rnacentral:rRNA from 1 species